rnacentral:rRNA from 1 species
UGGGGAAUAUUGCACAAUGGGCGCAAGCCUGAUGCAGCCAUGCCGCGUGUGUGAAGAAGGCCUUCGGGUUGUAAAGCACUUUCAGCGAGGAGGAAGGUGGUGAGCUUAAUACGCUCAUCAAUUGACGUUACUCGCAGAAGAAGCACCGGCUAACUCCGUGCCAGCAGCCGCGGUAAUACGGAGGGUGCAAGCGUUAAUCGGAAUUACUGGGCGUAAAGCGCACGCAGGCGGUUUGUUAAGUCAGAUGUGAAAUCCCCGGGCUCAACCUGGGAACUGCAUUUGAAACUGGCAAGCUAGAGUCUCGUAGAGGGGGGUAGAAUUUCCAGGUGUAGCGGUGAAAUGCGUAGAGAUCUGGAGGAAUACCGGUGGCGAAGGCGGCCCCCCUGGACGAAGACUGACGCUCAGGUGCGAAAGCGUGGGGCAGCAAACAGGAUUAGAUACCCUGGUAGUCCAGCGCUGUAAAACGAUGUCGAUUUGGAGGUUGUGCCCUUGAGGCGUGGCUUCCGGAGCUAACGCGUUAAAUCGACCGCC